GAUGAACGCUAGCGGCAGGCCUAAUACAUGCAAGUCGAACGGAUGUAGCAAUACAUUAGUGGCGUACGGGUGCGUAACGCGUAAACAAUCUACCUCAUACUGGGGGAUAGCCCUGGGAAACCGGGAGUAAGCCCGCAUGGUACCACGAGAUUUCAUGGUUUUGUGGUUAAAGAUUUAUCGGUAUGAGAUGAGUUUGCGUCUGAUUAGUUAGUUGGCGGGGUAACGGCCCACCAAGACGAUGAUCAGUAGGGGCUCUGAGAGGAGCGGCCCCCACACUGGCACUGAGACACGGGCCAGACUCCUACGGGAGGGCAGCAGUAGGGGAAUAUUGGGCGAAUGGAGGCAACUCUGACCCAGCCAUGCCGCGUGCAGGAAGACGGCGCUCAGCGUUGU
rnacentral:rRNA from 1 species